UUGGAUAAGUAUUUUUGGAAAUCGGCUCUGAUUGAUUCGUAACAAAGGAUUUGUGACAGUCAGUAAAACGAGCUUAGCCAACAAGAAAAUACACAUGUAGCAAGGAUUUCCAUUUCUUGUUGCUGAACAAUUUCAAGGCCUUGGGCCCACGUUGAGCGCAAGUCUGACAAAUGAAGGGACCUUAACAUUUGACCCUAGAUCGAGUCCCUGCGAGCCCAACUCAGUCCCAUCGUAGGAAUUAGGCCCCAAAUUACCAUUAUGAACUCAAAACCCCAAAUAAAAUUACUGAUCUUCAACGUUAGGAACAAACAGAUAAUUAAUCACUUGCAAUACGAAAUACCUAAUAUUCAAACACCAUUCAAAUGAGUUUUUCAAGCCGUAAUUACAAAUUCUUAUCCACAAGCAAUUUAUCCACUAAUCUGCUUACUAACAUAGUUUUCAGAUUCAACAUGCAUAUAUCAACAUAUUCUCUAUAUCUCUAACAUUAAAUCCUCAUUCCAUGUAUCUUCAAAUCAAACAGUUAAUAGGCAAAACGAUGAGAGACCUGUAUCACUUACCAUAACAAACUCUAAGACUAACUCAUGCAAAUCAAAAGAGUUAGAUUUCCUAAUUUACUUUAUUAAUACAGACCAAACUUCAAAGACAGAAAUAAGAUAAGCACACAAGGUGAAAUCUAACACUGAUUAUAGAAUCUAGGAACAAAAUCAUAAAGAAACCACAUAUACUAAACUAAUAUAAUCUAGAUUUCAAUUACAACCCGCAUCGUGAUAAAUACAUCAAUCAGAAUCCAGAUAUUGUAUGCUGAUCAUAAAAUUAAAAGAAAAAAUACGAAUUUCAAUAAAACAGCACCACAUUUCAACACAUUAAGUGACAUCCACAGGGCUGAAGAAUACCUGAAAUUUGCAAAAAAACAAAAAGGAAAAGAGAUGGGAAGCAAUAAACAGCAGCACCAACAGAACCCAGCAAUAGGAAGUAAUAAGCACAUAUUUAAAACCCAGAAAAUGCUAUACAAUAGUAUAGAAAGAAGUUUCAAUCAAAAAAGACCCAACAAACUUCAAACCAGACUCGAUCUCACACCGUUUUAAUCCUAGCUAACCAUAAAUUGCUUCAGAAUUGAAAAACUUCAGAAAUCACCAAAAGAAAUCAAUGGAAUAGUGUUCUAAAAGUUUCCGCCAUUUUCAUUUUUUCUGAAUUUACCUAUCUUUGAA
rnacentral:lncRNA from 1 species